rnacentral:rRNA from 1 species
UGGGGAAUAUUGCACAAUGGGCGAAAGCCUGAUGCAGCGACGCCGCGUGAGGGAUGACGGCCUUCGGGUUGUAAACCUCUUUCAGUAGGGACGAAGCGCAAGUGACGGUACCUGCAGAAGAAGCACCGGCUAACUACGUGCCAGCAGCCGCGGUAAUACGUAGGGUGCGAGCGUUGUCCGGAAUUACUGGGCGUAAAAAGCUCGUAGGCGGUUUGUCACGUCGUCUGUGAAAUCCUAGGGCUUAACCCUGGACGUGCAGGCGAUACGGGCUGACUUGAGUACUACAGGGGAGACUGGAAUUUCUGGUGUAGCGGUGGAAUGCACAGAUAUCAGGAAGAACACCGAUGGCGAAGGCAGGUCUCUGGGUAGUAACUGACGCUGAGGAGCGAAAGCAUGGGUAGCGAACAGGA